AUAGCGUAUAUUAAAGUUGUUGCGGUUAAAAAGCUCGUAGUUGAAUCUGUGUGCCACGCUGUCGGUUCGUCGCUCGCGGCGUUUAACUUGCAGUUUGUGGGACGUCCUACCGGUGGACUUGCUCUUCACGGAGCGCGGUCCAAAUAAUAUCCCAUCGCGGUGCUCUUGACUGAGUGUCGAGGUGGGCCGGUACGUUUACUUUGAACAAAUUAGAGUGCUUAAAGCAGGCUACCUUCGCCUGAAUACUGUGUGCAUGGAAUAAUGGAAUAGGACCUCGGUUCUAUUUUGUUGGUUUUCGGAACCCCGAGGUAAUGAUUAAUAGGGACAGAUGGGGGCAUUCGUAUUGCGACGUUAGAGGUGAAAUUCUUGGAUCGUCGCAAGACGGACAGAAGCGAAAGCAUUUGCCAAAAAUGUUUUCAUUAAUCAAGAACGAAAGUUAGAGGUUCGAAGGCGAUCAGAUACCGCCCUAGUUCUAACCAUAAACGAUGCCAGCUAGCGAUCCGCCGAAGUUCCUCCGAUGACUCGGCGGGCAGCUUCCGGGAAACCAAAGCUUUUGGGUUCCGGGGGAAGUAUGGUUGCAAAGCUGAAACUUAAAGGAAUUGACGGAAGGGCACCACCAGGAGUGGAGCCUGCGGCUUAAUUUGACUCAACACGGGAAACCUCACCAGGCCCGGACACCGGAAGGAUUGACAGAUUGACAGCUCUUUCUUGAUUCGGUGGGUGGUGGUGCAUGGCCGUUCUUAGUUGGUGGAGCGAUUUGUCUGGUUAAUUCCGAUAACGAACGAGACUCUAGCCUGCUAAAUAGGCGUACUUAUGGUAUCUCGAAGGCCCCCGGCCUCGCCGGGUGGUUUUUACUACCAACGUACAAACUAAUCUUCUUAGAGGG
rnacentral:rRNA from 1 species